GCGGGCCCAACACAUUGCAAGUUCGAGCGGUAGCACAGAGAGCUUGCUCUCGGGUGACGAGCGGCGGACGGGUGAGUAAUGUCUGGGAAACUGCCUGAUGGAGGGGGAUAACUACUGGAAACGGUAGCUAAUACCGCAUAACGUCGCAAGACCAAAGUGGGGGACCUUCGGGCCUCAUGCCAUCAGAUGUGCCCAGAUGGGAUUAGCUAGUAGGUGGGGUAACGGCUCACCUAGGCGACGAUCCCUAGCUGGUCUGAGAGGAUGACCAGCCACACUGGAACUGAGACACGGUCCAGACUCCUACGGGAGGCAGCAGUGGGGAAUAUUGCACAAUGGGCGCAAGCCUGAUGCAGCCAUGCCGCGUGUAUGAAGAAGGCCUUCGGGUUGUAAAGUACUUUCAGCGGGGAGGAAGGCGAUAAGGUUAAUAACCUUGUCGAUUGACGUUACCCGCAGA
rnacentral:rRNA from 1 species